UUGUUGGUAAGGUAAAAGCUUACCAAGGCUUCGAUCAGUAGCUGGUCUGAGAGGACGACCAGCCACACUGGGACUGAGACACGGCCCAGACUCCUACGGGAGGCAGCAGUGGGGAAUUUUGGACAAUGGGGGCAACCCUGAUCCAGCCAUGCCGCGUGAGUGAAGAAGGCCUUCGGGUUGUAAAGCUCUUUCAGCCGGAACGAAACGGUUACGGUUAAUACCCGUGACUACUGACGGUACCGGAAGAAGAAGCACCGGCUAACUACGUGCCAGCAGCCGCGGUAAUACGUAGGGUGCGAGCGUUAAUCGGAAUUACUGGGCGUAAAGCGUGCGCAGGUGGUUUUGUAAGUCAGAUGUGAAAGCCCCGGGCUUAACCUGGGAACUGCGUUUGAAACUACAAGACUAGAGUAUGGCAGAGGGGGGUGGAAUUCCGCGUGUAGCAGUGAAAUGCGUAGAGAUGUGGAGGAACACCGAUGGCGAAGGCAGCCCCCUGGGUCAACACUGACGCUCAGGCACGAAAGCAUGGGGAGCAAACAGGAUUAGAUACCCUGGUAGUCCAUGCCCUAAACGAUGUCAACUAGUUGUCGGGCCUUUACGGGCUUGGUAACGUAGCUAACGCGUGAAGUUGACCGCCUGGGGAGUACGAUCGCAAGAUUAAAACUCAAAUGAAUUGACGGGGACCCGCACAAGCGGUGGAUUAUGUGGAUUAAUUCGAUGCAACGCGAAAAACCUUACCUACCCUUGACAUGUAUCGAAGCCCGCAGAAAAGCGGGGGUGCCCGAAAGGGAACGAUAACACAGGUGCUGCAUGGCUGUCGUCAGCUCGUGUCGUGAGAUGUUGGGUUAAGUCCCGCAACGAGCGCAACCCUUGUCAUUAAUUGCCAUCAUUUAGUUGGGCACUUUAAUGAGACUGCCGG
rnacentral:rRNA from 1 species